UGCCCUUUUUAUCUCACGAAUCUCUCUCUCUCAGCAGGAGGCUUUCAGGAGAAGUUCGAAACCCUAAUUUGAUGACGGAAGUUAUGGAGAUAGCGAAGCUAUAGCGAUGGUGUUCAUGGUUCUGAUGGUGGCUUGGAGAGUUGUUAGGGUUUUCAAUCAGAGGGCAUCGACGAGGACGAUUGGAGGUCCGAUGAUGGUUUCCAAUGGCAGCAACAACGGUUUCACCUUUUCCUCACUCAAUCUCUCUACCUGAAACAUAAACUUCAUCAAAAAAGACAAGGUGGUCACUCGAUCUAGGGUUUUUGUUGCUGCCUCCUCUCAACAACCCUGAUUUGAUUCUUCAACAUGCCUAAAUCAGGCAAGAAGUCCGCCUACAAGGUUGUUUCAACUCCUGCAGCUGCAACACAACCGAUCAAAAAUGGCAAAAGAGAUGCAGAGGAGAUUGUUCAGAAGAAAGUAGUCAACGGAAAAAAAAAACAGAAGAUAGUCAACGGUGGUGUGCCACGUGAUGUUGAGAAAAAUACCAAGCCCCAGAAGAAAAACAAGAAACAAGAAAGCAAUUCUGAAUCUAAGGAAGAAGAAGAGAAGGUAUAAAGUUUUCACAUGUAUAUAUACUAAUAUUAAUUAUUAAAUGUGAAUAGAACCUAAGUUGUUACCUGAUUAGUUCCCACUAAGAUUUAAGGUCUGAAUGAUAUUUGAUAUCUAAAUUGAUGAUCAAGUUUUAUAAUGUAGCAAUGAGAGGUCUUCACAAAAGAGUGGACAAUUUCAAGUACGAACUGUAUUUGUAAGGGGAUUUGGUACCGAUGACGGCUUUGACGAUGUAUGUUUUACAUUUUAUAAUUCAACCGUGAUGAUGGCGUGUUGGCAAUGGGAGUGAAGUAGAAAGACCAUAGCCCACUGGUUGAGAGUAUAUCGUUAUAGGAUAAUUGGAGUUGAGAGUAUAUGGGUUCCAUAGGAUAAAACCUCCUUUCAUGGAGUUGAGAGUAUAUGGGUUCCAUAGGAUAAAACCUCCUUUCAUACGAAACAAUCUUCCUUUGAUUGAUAAAUUUUAACUCUUUAGCAAGUUCAGGUGGGUAUUACGGGUUAGUUUUUGGCCCGUUUAGGCACUUUUUGCCUCUUGCUUUGCUUGAGGCACCUAGGUUGCACACCUGUGCCUCGCCUCACCUCGCUUUGCUAGAGCGCCUUUGGUACAAACAUAACUAUCCAUGCUUUCUUGUUGUUUUUUGUAUGCCUGUAGGUUCAAGUUUCAGAGGGCACAUCUAUUUAUACCCAAUGCAGCUCAUGGUUAAAGAAUAGGUUUUGCUUUAGCACAACAGGUGUAUUAUUGUUCUAUAUUUAUUUAUCUUUACUGCAUAUCAUGGUAACACGAAUGUAUCCUUGACUGUGACAAAAAAAGAUAUUGCUUAUUCUAACUAACCUUUCUACUCACAAAAGCGUAACUUCCCCGGUGGAUUUCAUUUUUUUAAUAUUUUAGAAAUAUGUCCCUAUAACUUCACAGCAUAGAUACACACCUAUAACUUUCUCUUACAUAAGUUCAUAGAACUAAUCGAUGUAUCUAUGCUCAUUUUGGAAAUCAUCCUCUUUUUAAAGCAGAGCCAUUCGUAAUUUUAUCGGCUGCUUUCACAUAUCAGCCUCCUACAAAGGGACUGUGGUGUUUUCCAGUUCGCCUCGCGCCUCGGUCACAUUAUUUAAAACCAAAUUGUGUUUCAACAACUAAGUGUACCCAUGUAGACAGGUGGCAUUAUAUAUUAUAUAUAGCUAUAAUUUGUAACAUUUAUGUGCAGUUAUGUUUGUACAUUAUGCUAUUGUGGUUUUCUAUGUAUAUUUGUAUGAUACCUUUUGGUUAGUGGGUUGUACCCUUUCUUUGCAUACCAUGUGUACCCAUGACUUGGAUAAGCAGAUAAUGGGUUUUAGGGGGAAAAGAUUAGACAUCAAACCCUUCCUCCUUUGAUCAGAUAAAGAUGAGAGAGAGCGCGAUAGAAAGAUUGCGGAGAGAGAGGGAAUUGAUUCCAUGGUGGUUUGAUGGCGGUGGGUUGAGCCGGAGCUGCAAAGACGGUGUUUCAUGGCGGUGGUUCUACCACCGGUGACGACGGUGGUUUGCUGAAGAAGACGCCAUCGCAUCCGGAGGUCCGCCCAGGCGUCGCACAUCGGAAAGGUUUCGGAGUUAAUUUUUUUGUUUCAGUUUAACAUGUUGAUCCAAUGUGUUGUUGUACAUGUAGCUUCAUUGGUGUUUUCUGCCUUUUGCUCAUGUAUAAGCAAAAGGUGCUAAAUUGAGGUAUCGGUAUCCCCAUGGAGUCUUAUUUAGAUGUGAUACAAAGGUUUGCAUUUCUUAUCUGAUGAGUUACUUUUUUCUUCACGUUCCCUUUAAAUGGAUCAAUUUGGGCAGUGGUAUCUCACUCAGAACCAAAAAAAAAGAAGCUAAAACCCUGCUAAAUCGUUUUAUAUAAAUAACUUUGGGUCGAUUUGACCCGUCUCAAUCCCAUCCAUUAAUUAUGUCACAUCCAAACCACCUUUAUCAAUAUAUGACUAAUAUUCUAAUAUAUAUAACUGGAUGAUUAAAUCCUCAAUCUGUUGCAGGUUGGAGACUAUGAUAAUCGAGCUUGAACGACAAAGGCUCCUGUUGUAGUAGUAUCUCACGAGGCUAUUUUGAGAGCAUUCUAUGUAUAUUUUGUUGAUAGCCUGAUAGACCAUUGAAAGAAAUUCUGCACAUAGAGAUGCCAUUGCAUACAAUAGAGAUACAAAUAGGAGCCACAGGAGUAGAAGAGAAAGAUACAAGCUCAUGGAUUGAGAUAUACUUACGCACCAAGUUGACAUUAUUUGCUUGUAACUUAUUAACACUACGAGCUAUAUACGUUUAUUCAACUUCUACUUCCCCCAAAAAUGAAAUCAAAUAGUACACGAACAUUGGUUACUAAACAUUAAUAUUGUAAUCGACUAAUCUUCAUUAAUAAAAAAUAUAUUGAAUACA